rnacentral:rRNA from 1 species
AGCAGCCGCGGUAAUUCCAGCUCCAAUAGCGUAUAUUAAAGUUGUUGCAGUUAAAAAGCUCGUAGUUGAACUUCAGGCCUGUCCAGAUGGUCCGCCUUAAUUGGUGUGUACUGUCCUUGGGUGGGUCCUACCUUCUGGCGAAGCGGCAUGGCCUUAAUUGGGUUGUGUCGGGGAACCAGGACUUUUACUGUGAAAAAUUAGAGUGUUCAAAGCAGGCAUAUAUGCUCGAAUACAUUAGCAUGGAAUAAUGGAAUAGGACGAUGGUUCUAUUUUGUUGGUUCUAGGACCGUUGUAAUGAUUAAUAGGGAUAGUUGGGGGCAUUAGGUAUUCAAUUGUCAGAGGUGAAAUUCUUGGAUUUAUUGAAGACUAACUACUGCGAAAGCAUUUGCCAAGGAUGUUUUCAUUAAUUCAAGAACGAAAGUUAGGGGAUACGAAGACGAUCAGAUACCGUCGUAGUCUUAACCAUAAACUAUGCCGACUAGGAAUCGGGCGAUGUUGACAAAAUGACUCG